UGCCUCGCUCUCCUGUCACCUUUCCCGCGCGCGCGCUCUAACACACAUCAUUUUCAUGGGCUAUAGCGCCGCUCAGUGGAUAUAUCUGAUUCCUCUUUACUCGGUUAUAUAGUUUAUGAGGACCUUGGAGGACAAACAUAAACGUCCUGUCCUUUGGCCGUUUAUUUUGUUGUUUAAAUGUCUGCAUUUGUAAUAGUCAUUCCGUCUAGCAACUAUAAUGGCCCUGAUAAAUGUCAUUACGCGUUAUGUUUACGCCAUACGCGGACCACGCGGUGCUUACUGACGAGAUUCAAGUAAUAUAGUUGAAAAAUCAGUCCAAGCUGCAAGUUUCAAAAAGGAUUCUUAAAUGGGGGAGAAUUCUAGUUAAAAAGAGGAAGGUGGAGAAUUAUCGAUCCCUUAUCCCGAAGGUGUCGGCCGUAUGCAGAUGUCCCAAAGGUGCAACAGAGAAGGGUCCUGAGAGCAUUGGGGUGGUGGCCGAGCCCUGCACCCAAAUUGCUGGAGCAGAGCUCCAUCUUCAGGAGCCAGACUGGAGCGGAUACAAGAGCCCUCCAGCAUACGAACACAUGUGAACAUCCUUUAUGAGAUUACAGUCGAACCUCAGAUGCUGCCCAGCACACAGAGAUCAUAUCAUAUAUGGCAGACUUCCACCUUUGUCAUCUCACUAAGGCAAGUUUGUUAUCUUCGGUUAUUGUCAUCAGUGCAUUCUUGCCCUCAAUAAGUGCAUGGAUCAGUCUUAAAAAAGUCUUCAUUUGCUCAGUGUUUCUUUUUUUUCAUACAAUGAAGAUCAAGGGUCACUAAAACUUUUUAGUUACCAGCAUUCGUCAUAAUUUCUUCUGUAUUACGCAAAGAAAAAAAAAAAGUAAUAGUUUUGAAACAACAUGAGGGUGAGUAAAUGAUGACCGAAGUUUACAUAUUUGGUGGAACUUUCCCUUUAAGAAAAAAUAAGAUUAAUUCAUUAUCUCUAAAAGCUCUCUCUCGUCAUUGUUACAUGGAGAUUGACUUGGUUUCGAGAAAGGAUAUAUUAAAUAGUAGCUUUUUUUAAUCCAGGUUUUAGCGAAUGACUAUACAGCAAUAGAACAUGUACUACCUAUUAUCAUUUUAAUACUUCACCACACUUAUUUCAAUCUGGCUGCUGACAAAAUGAUUUCUUAAAUAAGUAGUCUUAGGAAAGAGAAAGUCAUUUAUGCCACAGUUCACCAGCCGAUAACUUCAAAAAGAUAAGGGAGUCACAUAAUGGAGUGAAUUUUAAGGCAUAUUGAGAGGAAUAUGGAGAUGAUGGCCAGCAAAAUGCGUGUGGUGAUUAAGUGGUUUUAUAAAAUGAAUAAUGUUGAGUUGAGUCUUUCUUUGUGUGGUUGCUGUAAAAAA